UCCGGUUUGUCACCGGCAGUCUCCUUAGAGUGCCCAACUAAAUGAUGGCAACUAAGAAUAAGGGUUGCGCUCGUUGCGGGACUUAACCCAACAUCUCACGACACGAGCUGACGACAACCAUGCACCACCUGUCACCAAUGUCCCCGAAGGGAAAAUCUUAUCUCUAAGACGGUCAUUGGGAUGUCAAGACCUGGUAAGGUUCUUCGCGUUGCUUCGAAUUAAACCACAUGCUCCACCGCUUGUGCGGGCCCCCGUCAAUUCCUUUGAGUUUCAACCUUGCGGUCGUACUCCCCAGGCGGAGUGCUUAAUGCGUUAGCUGCAGCACUAAGGGGCGGAAACCCCCUAACACUUAGCACUCAUCGUUUACGGCGUGGACUAC
rnacentral:misc_RNA from 1 species